CCUACGGGAGGCUGCAGUGAGGAAUAUUGGUCAAUGGGCGCGAGCCUGAACCAGCCAAGUCGCGUGAGGGAAGACGGUCCUAUGGAUUGUAAACCUCUUUUGUCGGGGAGCAAAAGACGCCACGCGUGGCGUUCCGAGAGUACCCGAAGAAACAGCAUCGGCUAACUCCGUGCCAGCAGCCGCGGUAAUACGGAGGAUGCGAGCGUUAUCCGGAUUUAUUGGGUUUAAAGGGUGCGCAGGCGGAAGGUCAAGUCAGCGGUAAAAUUGAGAGGCUCAACCUCUUCGAGCCGUUGAAACUGGUUUUCUGGAGUGAGUGAGAAGGAUGCGGAAUGCGUGGUGUAGCGGUGAAAUGCAUAGAUAUCACGAAGAACUCCGAUUGCGAAGGCAGCAUACCGGCGCUCAACUGACGCUCAUGCACGAAAGUGUGGGUAUCGAACAGGAUUAGAUACCCGGGUAGUC
rnacentral:rRNA from 1 species